rnacentral:rRNA from 1 species
AGUGAACGCUGGCGGUAGGCCUAACACAUGCAAGUCGAACGGCAGCACAGUAAGAGCUUGCUCUUACGGGUGGCGAGUGGCGGACGGGUGAGGAAUACAUCGGAAUCUACUUUUUCGUGGGGGAUAACGUAGGGAAACUUACGCUAAUACCGCAUACGACCUACGGGUGAAAGCAGGGGAUCUUCGGACCUUGCGCGAUUGAAUGAGCCGAUGUCGGAUUAGCUAGUUGGCGGGGUAAAGGCCCACCAAGGCGACGAUCCGUAGCUGGUCUGAGAGGAUGAUCAGCCACACUGGAACUGAGACACGGUCCAGACUCCUACGGGAGGCAGCAGUGGGGAAUAUUGGACAAUGGGCGCAAGCCUGAUCCAGUCAUACCGCGUGGGUGAAGAAGGCCUUCGGGUUGUAAAGCCCUUUUGUUGGGAAAGAAAAGCAGCAGGUUAAUACCCCGCUGUUCUGACGGUACCCAAAGAGUAAGCACCGGCUAACUUCGUG